rnacentral:lncRNA from 1 species
CUCACCCUGGGACGUGAUGGGAGGGCAGAAGCAGGGAGAGGAAGUGCCCUCAGUGAGGCUCAGCAUGGGGCACAGAGAGGAACAGUCACCCCUCCUCUCCCAGCAGCCUGCCCAGGGCACCUGCACCCUGCAUUCUAAGAGGGACACAAGGCGCUGCUGGCGGUGUGUCUGCAGGACCCACAAGAAUGCCUGCUGGUGACGUUUCAGCAGGACUCUCCAGCAACCCCACUCCUGAGCACGUGACGAACAUAAGCCAUCUUCAUAUGCCACCAGAAGACGAGCCUCGGGAGCAGUUUUAGUUCUAAGAGCUCCAAGCUGAAAGCCGACUGCCUGUCAUCCUUGACCACCUGUCCACAAGGAAGAAGGGGUACAUUUUCCUAGAUUCACACAACUGAAUGCUACACACCCGUGAAAAAGAACAAGUUACAGGUCCAGGCAACAAUGAGGAUGAACCUCACAAACAUAACAUGAAGCAGAAGGAGGCAGACAUGAAAGAGUACAGACUGCAGCAUUCCACUCAUAGGAAGUCCAAGCAUGGGCAACGAAUCCAUGCGGCUAGAGGCUACAAGAAUUCUCCAAAGCAUUAUCUAAGUCCUGGAAGAGCAAUUACAGUUUUGGUACCAAAAGUAGGAGCGACCAGCCAGGCUCUCCCCCACAGACAACAGCACCUGCCCACGGCCAGCCUCCUGCGAUGAGUCACAGGUGCCACGUGAAAUGCAUUAUACACACUCAGGGACAGACACGCAAAUGCUCCACUCAUGAAGGAUACAGAAAUAGAUGGAGGAGCUUCUUGGUCAUUGUUUACUUCUCAAAAAUGGAAUCAUUCUAUACAUCCUUAUGCACAUGUUAACUUCUUACUCAAAG